AAAACAUGUCUUUUUGAUUAUAAUUUAAGGUUUAAUCUGCUCAAUGAUUAUUUAAAUUGCCGCAGUAUUUUGACUGUGCAAAGGUAGCAUAAUAAUUAGUUUCUUUAUUGGGAACUGGAAUGAAUGAUUGGACGAGAAAAUUUCUGUCUCUUUAUUAUUUUAAUUGAAUUUUACUUUUAAGUUAAAAGGCUUAAAUUUUAUUAGAGGACGAGAAGACCCUAUAGAGUUUAAUUUUUAUUUAAAUAAUUAUUUUUAGUAUCUAUAUAUAUUAUUUAAAUAAAAAUUUAGUUGGGGUGACUAAAAGAUAAGAAUAACUCUUUUAAUUUUUAUCAAUUAUUUUUGAUUAUAAAAUCUUUAUUUUUAAUUUUAAAAUAAAUUACCUUAGGGAUAACAGCGUAAUUCUUUUUUAAAGUUCUUAUUAAAAGAAGAGUUUGCGACCUCGAUGUUGGAUUAAAAUUAAUUUUAGGUGUAGAAGCUUGAAAAUUAAGUCUGUUCGACUUUUAAAAUUUUACAUGAUCUGAGUUUAAACCGGUGUGAGCCAGGUUGGUUUCUAUCCUUAAUUAUAUAUUAUACUUU
rnacentral:rRNA from 1 species